GAGAGUGCAGCCUAAAUUUGGUGGUAAACUCCAUCUAAAGCUAAAUAUUGAUCAGUGACCGAUAGCAAACAAGUACCGUGAGGGAAAGAUGAAAAGAACCUUGAAAAGGGGGUUAAAAGUACGUGAAAUUGUUAUUAGGAAAGCACUUAGUCUCAUUGUGGAUUAGAUCAGUCUGUUUCGGCAGAUACUGUCCUAAUUAGUUAUGAUCAGUUAGCGUUGAUAAAGAAAAUUUGUGAUAAGGUAUUAGUGUAGUGCUAAACUUAAAGAUCACUUAUUAUUUGUCGAUACUGACUGAGGAAUGCUACUUAAUCUUUUUGAGUAAAUAGUUUGUGGAGUUAGGUUAAACAACAUGUUGAUUAGCUUAAUUAAAGNGAUCUAUUUGCUUUAAAACUUAAGUACAGGAUCAUAAUUAAAUGAUACUAAAUGACCCGU
rnacentral:rRNA from 1 species